UACGUAGGUGGCAAGCGUUGUCCGGAUUUAUUGGGUUUAAAGGGUGCGUAGGCGGUCUUUUAAGUCAGUGCUGAAAUAUCCCGGCUUAACCGGGAGGGUGGCAUUGAUACUGAAGGACUUGAGUUCAGUCGAGGUAGGCGGAAUUGACGGUGUAGCGGUGAAAUGCUUAGAUAUCGUCAAGAACACCGAUAGUGUAGACAGCUUACUAGGCUGAAACUGACGCUGAGGCACGAAAGUGUGGGGAUCAAACCGG
rnacentral:rRNA from 1 species